GACGAACGCUGGCGGCGUGCUUAACACAUGCAAGUCGAACGGAAAGGCCCUGCUUUUGUGGGGUGCUCGAGUGGCGAACGGGUGAGUAACACGUGAGUAACCUGCCCUUGACUUUGGGAUAACUUCAGGAAACUGGGGCUAAUACCGGAUAGGAGCUCCUGCUGCAUGGUGGGGGUUGGAAAGUUUCGGCGGUUGGGGAUGGACUCGCGGCUUAUCAGCUUUUUGGUGGGGUAGUGGCUUACCAAGGCUUUGACGGGUAGCCGGCCUGAGAGGGUGACCGGCCACAUUGGGACUGAGAUACGGCCCAGACUCCUACGGGAGGCAGAAGUGGGGAAUAUUGCACAAUGGGCGGAAGCCUGAUGCAGCAACGCCGCGUGCGGGAUGACGGCCUUCGGGUUGUAAACCGCUUUCGCCUGUGACGAAGCGUGAGUGACGGUAAUGGGUAAAGAAGCACCGGCUAACUACGUG
rnacentral:rRNA from 1 species